rnacentral:rRNA from 1 species
UAGGGAAUCUUCCGCAAUGGGCGAAAGCCUGACGGAGCAACGCCGCGUGAGUGAUGAAGGUCUUCGGAUCGUAAAACUCUGUUAUUAGGGAAGAACAAAUGUGUAAGUAACUAUGCACGUCUUGACGGUACCUAAUCAGAAAGCCACGGCUAACUACGUGCCAGCAGCCGCGGUAAUACGUAGGUGGCAAGCGUUAUCCGGAAUUAUUGGGCGUAAAGCGCUCGUAGGCGGUGUUUUAAGUCUGAUGUGCAAGCCCACGGCUCAACCGUGGAGGGUCAUUGGAAACUGGAAAACUUGAGUGCAGAAUGGGAAAGUGGAAUUCCAUGUGUAGCUGUGACAUGCGCAGAGAUAUGGAUGAACACCAGUGGAGAAGGCGAAUUUCUGGUCUGUAACUGACGAUGAUGUGCGAAAGCGGGGGGAUCAAACAGG